UCUGCAUGGGCCAGAGCAUGUGUGUAGCUCAGAGGUCACCUUCAUGUCUUGAUCCUCCUUCCACCUUAAGUCAGGGUCACUUGUUCUACCUACCCAGUGCUGGGAUUCCAAGCAUCCCCCCAUCAUCCUACCCUCCUCCCUUUGGAUAUUUCAAAAUCAGUCGCCUCACUCACUCAGUCUGGGGGAUCCAAGAGCUACUGCACCCUAGAGCAUUGCCUGGCCCAGGGGACGCCACUGGAGAUGAGGUGCUGCGGCUUCUCCUCCGAGGCCUGCCUCAGGCUGGGUCAGUCAUCCAGAUGGAAUAUUCUUGCAGGUUCCAGUUUCGAGUGUACUUUCCCUUGCUCUCUCUGCAACACGUGUGAUUUGCAAAGUCAGUGCAUGGACCAGGGGAGGCCACAGCAGGUGACUGGGACGCACUCAUUAAAAAGACCCCAAGUUGCUAGUGCAAGAGCACAAAGCCCGAGAUUCCCAAAGUCAGAAACAGCGGCAACAAGGGCUUCGGGGACUACAAACCCCAGGGAAAUGCGGUCCAGUCCCUAGUCUGUUAGUGAAUCCUCCCAACAAGGUAUUUGUUGUUGUUGGGGGUUUUUUAUUUUUGCUUUUGUUUUUUUAAUAGUGAAUUUUUAUGGGAAGAUGUAACACUCUUUUUAAGUGAAGUUACUUCAUAUAAAAUAUGCAUAGAAAAUAUAAACCUUUCUCAAAGUUCGGUUGCCAGCUUUAGGGAAUACAGUACCAACUACAAAAUAAAAUUUCUUCUUUGCAGCCGGAAGUAGUGGGUCACGCCUGUAACCCCAGCUUUUUGGAGACAGAGGCAGGAGGAUCUCUGUGAGUUCAAGUUGUGUAUGUUCCUGGCGUGCAUGUGGAGGCCAGCAACUUGUAGAAGUCGGUUCUCUCUCGACCAUGAGGGUCAAGGGGAUGGAACUCACAUCAUCAGUCUGGCGUCCCACAGAGGCCAGAAGACGGUGUUAGAUACAACGG